rnacentral:rRNA from 1 species
CCCUUAGAUGUUCUGGGCAGCACGCGCGCUACAAUGGUCUUCUCAAACGGAUGCAUUCUCGAAGGAGAAUGCCAAUCUUGGAAUCUAUGCCUUGGUCGGGACAGUUGCUUGCAAUUUUUCGACUCGAACCAGGAAUUCCUUGUAAUCGUGAUUCAUCACAUCACGAUGAAUACGUCCCUGCCCUUUGUACACACCGCCCGUCGCUCCUACCGAUCGAAGAGUUAGGUGAAUUGUUUUGAUCGAUAAGAUUUGACUAUGGUCAACUCUCGUUGUGAAAUUCUGUGAAUCUGACUGUUUAGAGGAAGGAAAAGUCGUAACA